CAGGGAGACAACAAAAUGUUUAAUAUUAUUAUUUUGUCACCUUAGGUCGAUCGGUAUCUCACGUUUUUAAUUUAUUAAGAAUUUCAUUUCCUAAGUUUUUCUAGGUCACACCCAUUAUUUUUCCUGGGCCAUUAGCUCAGGUGGUUAGAGCGCACCCCUGAUAAGGGUGAGGUCCCUGGUUCAAGUCCAGGAUGGCCCAUAUCUCUAUGUUGGGGGUAUAGCUCAGUUGGUAGAGCGCCUGCUUUGCAAGCAGGAUGUCAGCGGUUCGAGUCCGCUUACCUCCACUGAUUACCACCUCUUCCAUAACCGGUAAAAAGGAAAUGUUUUGAGUUGUGAUCAAAUUCUGAAAGAAUCUAGCUUCCUAAUGAAAUCAUUAAGAUGCUGGACUCAUUGAAUUAAUUUCAUUGUUUUCAGAGAACCUUGACAACUGCAUAGAUUAUUUUUAAAGACAAUAAGCAUCUUUAAUGAUGCAGACUUAUUAUUUGUGCGAAUGCAUUAAUAACAAUUCUAUUAAGCUGAUGCUUCAAUUUUUGAAGUUAUU
rnacentral:tRNA from 1 species